UACAGGGGGUGCAAGCGUUGUUCGGAAUUACUGGGCGUAAAGCGCGGGCAGGUGGCCUUUUAAGUCCUUUGUGAAAUCCCGGAGCUCAACUCCGGAUGUGCAUAGGAUACUGGAAGGCUUGGGACUGGUAGAGGCGAGCGGAAUUCCUGGUGUAGCGGUGGAAUGCGUAGAUAUCAGGAGGAACACCGGUGGCGAAGGCGGCUUUCUGGGCCUUACCUGACGCUGAGGAGCGAAAGCUGGGGGAGCAAACAGG
rnacentral:rRNA from 1 species